rnacentral:rRNA from 1 species
CCUACGGGAGGCAGCAGUGAGGAAUAUUGGUCAAUGGGGGGAACCCUGAUGCAGCGACGCCGCGUGGGUGAAGAAGCGCCUCGGCGCGUAAAGCCCUGUCAGCAGGGAAGAAAAUGACGGUACCUGAAGAAGAAGCCCCGGCUAACUACGUGCCAGCAGCCGCGGUAAUACGUAGGGGGCAAGCGGUAUCUGGAUUUACUGGGUGGAAAGGGGGCGCAGACGGCGAUGCAAGCCAGGAGUGAAAGCCCGGGUCCCAACCCCGGGACUGCUCUUGGAACUGCGUGGCUGGAGUGCAGGAGGGGCAGGCGGAAUUCCUGGUGUAGCGGUGAAAUGCGUAGAUAUCAGGAGGAACACCGGUGGCGAAGGCGGCCUGCUGGACUGCAACUGACGUUGAGGCCCGAAAGCGUGGGGAGCAAACAGGAGUAGAUACCCCGGUAGUC